GGGGGCGACAUGGUUUCGACGUGGGUAGCGAAACCGGAGGUGCAUGCCGAGGUGCGGGAUCCUCGUAAAACAUCUUGCAAACCAAGUUAGUUGCCAACGACGACAACUACGCUCUAGCCGCUUAAGGCUAGCCUCUGACCGCCGUGUGCCUGUGCGCUGCGGGUUUCAGGGGUCACCACUACACGGGAUCGCCGCAAAGCCUGCCCCAGGUGUAGCCGCUAAAACCCAUAGGGGAUCGCCGCUUCGUAGCCCUGUACGCCGGGACGCGGGCGGUUAAAACUCAAUGGCGCACUAAGCAUGUAGAGCCGAUGGCGGAGUACUUGCGGACGCGGGUUCGAUUCCCGCCGCCUCCACCA
rnacentral:tmRNA from 1 species